AAGUCGUAACAAGGUUUCCGUAGGUGAACCUGCGGAAGGAUCAUUACCUAGAGUUGCGGGCUUUGCCUGCCAUCUCUUACCCAUGUCUUUUGAGUACCUUCGUUUCCUCGGUGGGUUCGCCCGCCGACUGGACAAAACUUAAACCCUUUGUAAUUGAAAUCAGCGUCUGAAAAAACUUAAUAGUUACAACUUUCAACAACGGAUCUCUUGGUUCUG
rnacentral:misc_RNA from 1 species